CAAAAGGUAGUUUAAAAAAAAUAUUAAUUUUGGAGAUUAAUGAUAAAGUUAUUCUUUUCUUUUGA
rnacentral:tRNA from 1 species